rnacentral:rRNA from 1 species
UAUGUGAUCGUCUCUCGCAUAUCAAUAAGCGGAGGAAAAGAAACUAACAAGGAUUCCCCUAGUAACGGCGAGUGAAGCGGGAAGAGCUCAAAUUUGAAAUCUUAAAGGGUUUCCCUUUACGAAUUGUAGUUUAAAGAAGUGUUUUCUGUUGAGGUUUUGGUAAAAGUUCUUUGGAAUAGGACAUCAUAGAGGGUGAGAAUCCCGUAUUUGACCUUUACUUUCAACUUUGUGAUACACUUUCAAAGAGUCGGAUUGUUUGGGAAUGCAGUCCAAAAUGGGUGGUAAAUUUCAUCUAAAGCUAAAUAUUGGCGAGAGACCGAUAGCGAACAAGUACCGUGAGGGAAAGAUGAAAAGAACUUUGAAAAGAGAGUUAAACAGUACGUGAAAUUGUCAAAGGGAAGCGUUUGACACCAGUGUUGUUUUUCUGAAAAUCAAUUAAAGAACUGUUUAUGCUAAGUUGUUUAGACUUUAUCAGCUAACUGUUUAGUUUUGAGCUUUUCUUUAAUGCACUUUUCAGUUAACAAGUCAACAUCAAUUUCUUUUGCUGUAAAAAAGCUUGAGGAAGGUGGCUUGAGAUUCGUCUUAAGUGUUUAUAGCCUCUUGCCUAUGCAGUCGGAGAGAUUGAGGUCUGCAGCGUAGAUCCUUCGGGGCUAAAUGCAUUUGUGCUAAGUUAUAGCAUUUUAUAGACAACUUGUUGACUAUGAUUUGUCUUGUAGCUUACUCGCUUAUGUUAUUUUACCUACGCUUAGGAUGUUGAAGUCAUCGUAUCGCGC